UAGCGCGCUUGGUGAAUACGGGCCGGCGGCGCCCGCGCGGGGGGUGCCUGUAAACAAUGGUGCCCCCCCUGCGCCGCGCUCCCUUACCGAUUCCUCCUCCUUCUCCAUCCCCGUGGGCAUCUGCGGCACGGCCCGGUUGAUGGAGACGCAGUCGUUGAGAAUCACACAAUAUUUAGGGUUGGAAGGGACCUCUGGAGAUCAUCCAGUUCAACCAGGGGCACCCAGAGCAGGUGAAACAGGACAGCAUCCAGCAAAUACAACUACUGUUCUUGACAAACACAUGAUUUACAAAAUGAAGAAUAAAGAAUUGUGUCAGCUAGAGAGAGAGAGAAGGCAGAUGAAACAAGCACAGUAAUACACAGGAGGCAAAAAGAAAGAGCAAGAACAUUACGUUCAUCAGCCACGGACCCAAAUUAGCUUGGGAAAGAGAUGUGGAAAUUGGAUUAACUCCUAUGAAAACAUCAGGAACAACGGUGCUCAGCUCAGGAAUCUCUUCUGCUGCACCAGCACCAAACACAUCCUGGGAUUGUGGCAGCUGGAAAAGGGGCCCUAGGGGGACUGCUGAGUGGUGGGAAUUAUAAGUGCCCAAAGGACUCACCUGCAGCAUGGACCUGGAUGUGGAUGUGGUUGGAAAAGCCUUUGUUCCCCAGCCCACUCCGUACCUGGUUUAGCUCCAUUCCCAGCCGGGCCCAACCCACAGCUCAGCCCUGGAUCAUUCCCUCAUUGGGAUCCAUUCCUGCCUGGAAUUCUGAAACAUCAGUGACAGUGGUUCUCUUGGACUUGUGUCAACCUGUGCCAGUGCUUUCCUGGGAUUUAGACACAGGAAUGUGUGAGGAUGCUCUUGCUCUUCCUUCUCCACCCCGCUUCAUCCUGUGAACUGCUUACACGGAACCAGGAAAACUCGGCAAGAGAGGAGAAAAAAAUUGGUCUGGACUGAAAGCAAACUACUGCUACCCCCCCAGCAAUGCCAUCAUCCACCG